rnacentral:misc_RNA from 1 species
GUAGGUGAACCUGCGGAAGGAUCAUUAACACGAACUUCUAUCCAAUAUCAAACCAAACGUGAACUUUUCCCCUCCCUAGUCAAAAACAAACAACAACUUUAUGUUGUCCGUUUAUUUGUCUAGGCUAACCUUUUUUUAACUUUAUAUACAAUAUAUUUGUAUUGUAUAUAUUGUUUUUAACUCCUAUAACUUUAACUCUAGUUAUGUCGAGGAUUUUUUCUCUUCAAACUACUAACACUAAAAAAUGACCAUAUCUCUUAAUUGAGUAUUGGACUUUUUUUCGAUAUUACGAAAAAUUAAGAACAACUCUUAACAAUGGAUAUCUUGGUUCUC